UGGGGAAUAUUGCACAAUGGGCGCAAGCCUGAUGCAGCCAUGCCGCGUGUAUGAAGAAGGCCUUCGGGUUGUAAAGUACUUUCAGUCGGGAGGAAGGUGUCAAGGUUAAUACCUUUGCUCAUUGACGUGACCCGCAGAAGAAGCACCGGCUAACUCCGUGCCAGCAGCCGCGGUAAUACGGAGGGUGCAAGCGUUAAUCGGAAUUACUGGGCGUAAAGCGCACGCAGGCGGUCUGUCAAGUCGGAUGUGAAAUCCCCGGGCUCAACCUGGGAACUGCAUUCGAAACUGGCAGGCUAGAGUCUUGUAGAGGGGGGUAGAAUUCCAGGUGUAGCGGUGAAAUGCGUAGAGAUCUGGAGGAAUACCGGUGGCGAAGGCGGCCCCCUGGACAAAGACUGACGCUCAGGUGCGAAAGCGUGGGGAGCAAACAGG
rnacentral:rRNA from 1 species